rnacentral:rRNA from 1 species
UACAGAGGGGGCAAGCGUUAUUCGGAAUUAUUGGGCGUAAAGGGCGCGUAGGCGGCUUGGCAAGUGGAAGGUGAAAUCCCUCGGCUUAACCGAGGAACUGCCUUCCAGACUGCUUUGCUUGAGGCCGGGAGAGGUGAGUGGAAUUCCAGGUGUAGCGGUGAAAUGCGUAGAUAUCUGGAGGAACACCGGUGGCGAAGGCGGCAUCCUGGACCGGUAUUGACGCUGAGGCGCGAAAGCUAGGGGAGCAAACGGG